UCGCACUGUCGAAAUUUCUCCUACAGUGCGAAAUUUGAAAAAGUGUCAUGCGGAUCUUGGCCCAGUCUCACUUCUUUCUGCUCCUCCUCGUCGCAGCAACCGCCGAAAAUGGAAUCAGACUUUGCCUCGGCGCAGGAUAUCCGUGUUCACCUCUAAGGUUCCCUUGGGAAGAUGUACCUCGGUGCUGCGAAGGCUACUUUUGUGUCCCUGGAUUUUCAACAUGUUUAAAACGUUUUUUUUAGAAAUACAUUAAAGAGCUUUUAUUAGAAACAGUAGGAAACUAUGUAAACUGUUAGAUUCAGGAAAUUAUAUUUAUUGGCUUUUUAUCCCUGCACUAAAUCUGGCCUUGAAGAUCGCAGGAGGUUUUUUUAAUGUUUAAAUUAUAUAAGGCGUUCGCCAUUAGUUAUAAAAUAAAAUAAUAAAUUUUAUGUGUUUAA